GAUGAACGCUGGCGGCGUGCUUAACACAUGCAAGUCGAACGGUGAAGGAGAGCUUGCUCUCCGGAUCAGUGGCGAACGGGUGAGUAACACGUGGGCAACCUGCCCCAGACUUCGGGAUAACGCUUCGAAAGAGGUGCUAAUACCGGAUACGAACUCCUUGGGCAUCCUUGGAGUUGGAAAGUUUUUCGGUCUGGGAUGGGCCCGCGGCCUAUCAGCUUGUUGGUGAGGUAACGGCUCACCAAGGCGACGACGGGUAGCCGGCCUGAGAGGGCGACCGGCCACACUGGGACUGAGACACGGCCCGGACUCCUACGGGAGGCAGCAGUGGGGAAUAUUGCGCAAUGGGCGAAAGCCUGACGCAGCAGCGCCGCGUGAGGGAUGACGGCCUUCGGGUUGUAAGCCUCUUUCAGCGGGGACGAAGCGAAAGUGACGGUACCCGCAGAAGAAGCACCGGCUAACUACGUGCCAGCCGCCGCAGUAAAAC
rnacentral:rRNA from 1 species